rnacentral:tRNA from 1 species
GAGAGGGUUACAAGACCUGCUAACUCUUUAACCCGGAAUUAAAAACCGGCCCUCUCUACC